rnacentral:rRNA from 1 species
CUCGCCUGGUUUAUCAAAAACAUCGCCUUUUGAUUAUAUAGAAGGUCUAGCCUGCCCACUGAAGAUUAAAGGGCCGCGGUAUUUUGACCGUGCAAAGGUAGCAUAAUCAUUAGUCUUCUAAUUAAGGGCUGGGAUGAACGGCUGGAUGAGACACACGCUAUCUUUCGUGGGGUAUUUAAUUUAACUUCUUAGUGAAAAGGCUGAGAUGGGGCUGAGGGACGAGAAGACCCUAUAGAUCUUUAUAUUUGAAACUUAUUAUCUGUUUAGAAUAUUUAGUUAAUAUGUGUAAUGUAUUUUGUUGGGGUGACAUGGGGAUAAAGGAACUCCUCUUAAUAAAACACUUUUAAGUGAUUUCUUGAUCCAUAUUAAUGAUUAAAAGAACAAGUUACCUUAGGGAUAACAGCGUAAUUUCUUUGGAGAGUUCAUAUCGAUAAAGAAGAUUGCGACCUUCGAUGUUGGAUUAAGGGUAAUUCCUGGGAGCAGCAGCUCG